AUUGAACGCUGGCGGCAUGCCUUACACAUGCAAGUCGAACGGCAGCACGGGAGCAAUCCUGGUGGCGAGUGGCGAACGGGUGAGUAAUAUAUCGGAACGUGCCCAGUCGUGGGGGAUAACGCAGCGAAAGCUGUGCUAAUACCGCAUACGAUCUAUGGAUGAAAGCGGGGGAUCGCAAGACCUCGCGCGAUUGGAGCGGCCGAUAUCAGAUUAGCUAGUUGGUGAGGUAACGGCUCACCAAGGCGACGAGCUGUAGCUGGUCUGAGAGGACGACCAGCCACACUGGAACUGUGACACUGUCCAGACUCCUACGGGAGGCAGCAGUGGGAAAUUUUGGACAAUGGGCGAAAGCCUGGUCCAGCAAUGCCGCGUGCAGGAUGAAGGCCUUCGGGUUGUAAACUUCCUUUGUACGGAACGAAACGGCCCUUUCUAAUACAGGGGGCUAAUGACGGUACCGUAAGAAUAAGCACCGGCUAACUACGUGCCAGCCGCCGCGGUAA
rnacentral:rRNA from 1 species